CAGCAGUGGGGGAAUAUUGCACAAUGGGCGCAAGCCUGAUGCAGCCAUGCCGCGUGUAUGAAGAAGGCCUUCGGGUUGUAAAGUACUUUCAGCAGUGAGGAAGGCAGGUACGUUAAUAGCGUGCUUGUUUGACGUUAGCUGCAGAAGAAGCACCGGCUAACUCCGUGCCAGCAGCCGCGGUAAUACGGAGGGUGCGAGCGUUAAUCGGAAUUACUGGGCGUAAAGCGCAUGCAGGUGGUUCGUUAAGUCAGAUGUGAAAGACCCGGGGCUCAACCUCGGAAUUGCAUUUGAAACUGGCGGACUAGAGUACUGUAGAGGGGGGUAGGAAUUUCAGGUGUAGCGGUGAAAUGCGUAGAGAUCUGAAGGAAUACCGGUGGCGAAGGCGGCCCCCUGGACAGAUACUGACACUCAGAUGCGAAAGCGUGGGGAGCAAACAGGAUUAGAUACCCUGGUAG
rnacentral:rRNA from 1 species